UACGUAGGGGGGCAAGCGUUGUCCGGAAUUAUUGGGCGUAAAGAGCUCGUAGGCGGUUCAGUAAGUCGGGUGUGAAAACUCUGGGCUCAACCCCAGAGACGCCACCCGAUACUGCUGUGACUUGAGUACGGUAGGGGAGUGGGGAAUUCCUGGUGUAGCGGUGAAAUGCGCAGAUAUCAGGAGGAACACCAGUGGCGAAGGCAGGUCUCUGGGCCACUACUGACGCUGAGAAGCGAAAGCAUGGGGAGCGAACAGG
rnacentral:rRNA from 1 species